CAGAAAGACACAGAGUUGUGUGUGUCUGCCUUUGCUGUGACAAUUUUCUCUGAGUUUCAAAUUCCAGAUGAAAAUCAUAUGAAGACACAGCAUCAUGUCAGGCAAUAGAGACAAAAGCAUCAACCUUUCGGGAUCAUUUGAUGGAUUAAACAGGAAAACCAAAAAUCUCCAAGUGAGAAGACCUUACUUGUCUUCUGAAAGUCUGAAAAGCUGGGAUACAUGAAGACUGCCAUCCCUUGAGUCACUUGCCCUGUAGCUGCCACUGUUGGAAAAGGGCUUGCUUCUGUGUCCUUGUGCCCACUUUGAAAAUCCCUGGGAAGUCCUUGGAGUCAGAUGAGCAGGCCUCCGCCACUCUGCCAAAAAGUCUGUUCAGAAGUUUCACAUCACUAGAGAAGAGAGAAGAAGGACAUUUGUACUGGGAGGAGUCGACCGGUCCCAGUAAGGAGAAAGUAGCUACAGCGUCAUGGGUGAGCUGGGUCCCCCAAAAAGGAACUUUAAGGGAAUGGACUGAAUCAAGUCUGAGAUGUCCCCAAAGCAAGACCAAAGAACUGAGGAAGAGAAGCAUUCAUCAGAAACCAAAAUUCAGCUACAAGUGAGCAUCCAGAUGGAGGUAUUAUGAAGAGGAACUGAGACUGAGGGCAAAAGGUGCCAGCCAGAAUCCUGGAUAGGAGAGCAAGAACCAGGACCUCAUUUAAGAGACAACCUGCUUAAGGCAGAGUAAGGUGAGAUUGGAUUCACGCAAAGACCUGGAAUUCAAGUAGGUUAAUGAACAGACAGUGUGUGCCUAUACCACGAAUUUACAAUAAUAAUAAGGGUGCUAAUAAUCACAUGGAAUUGUAGAGUAUAAUGAAAAUAUACACACUGGAGAGAAAUUGCACGGGUUGGCAUCUCAGCUUUGUCAUUUACUAUAACAGUGACCUUGGGCAAGUUAUUUAACCACUCUCUGCCUCAAUUUCCUGAUCAGUAAAAUGAGCUAAUAAUACUUUCUUUUUAUUUUGAGAUGGAGUCUCACUCUUUCACUGAGGCUGGAGUGCAGUGGUGCGAUCUCGGCUCACUGCAGCCUCCACCUCCCAGGUUCAAGCGAUUCUCCUGCCUCAGCCUCCCCAGUAACCAGGAUUACAAACAUGCACCACCAUACCCAGCUAACAUAAAUAUGAAUAUAUUAUAUAUAUAUUUGUACUUUUAGUAGAGAUGAGGUUUCACCAUGUUGGCCAGGCUGGUCUUGAAUUCCUGACCUCAAGUGAUCUGCCUGCCUCGGUCUCCCAAAGUGCUGAGAUUACAGGCAUAAACCACCAGGCUUGCACUAUUGAUAAUUAUUAUAGCAUAAAGUUUUUCUGAGGACUAAAUGGGGCAAAAUACGUAAAACACUAAUUAUAAUUAUUGGCAAAUCCCAUAAUGCUUGUUGUUAUUAGUAUACUUAGAAUUAUUUUAACAUUAAAAACUGAAAACUGAAGCUCUGAGAGUCUGUGUGACUUUGAGGAUUAAAGAACUGAAAAAUGGUAGAAGUAGAAUUUGAACUAAGAAAGUACGGUUAUUGAAUGCAUGGAUUUAAUCCCUAUUAAAUACUUUAUCUUCCAAAAUCUAUGACUCUUUAGUCUUCUUUGUUAACAAAACCUACUUUACGAAAUACAGAACUCUCAGUUGUAUAUAUCAAAUAAUAUUUGUCUGUAGCUGAAUUCUGUGAACGUAUCCAGUCAUCCAUUCCAUAGUUGUAAGAGCAUUACUUUUUGAGACGGAGUCUUGCUCUGUUGCCCAGGCCGGAGUGCAGUGGCGCGAUCUCGGCUCACUGCAGGCUCCACCUCCUGGGUUCACGCCAUUCUCCC
rnacentral:lncRNA from 10 species